AAUUUUGAGAGUGUCUGUUUUCCCGGAGUGGUCCUUAUCCACUGGCUGACUACUUGGGAAUCUGAAUACCAAGUUCCGUCACUGUAAGGCCAUGUGUAUUAAAGGAGACACAGAAGUGACCAAGAAGCCUCCUUCAAUCUUCCCAAAGACUCAAUCACCCUCUUAGAUGAAAACAGAGUCCUCACUUUCUGUCUUUCUCAAUGAUGCGCUGGAGAAUUUUGUGCUUCCUUUCACUGAAACCCAGAGAUCAGUAGAGUUGGAGCUCCUUCUUACCAAAGAGAGAAGGCGCACUUUUGCCUAAGAGCCACAGCAAGAUCCCUCUGAACCACAAGCUGCAGCUCUUGCCAAGCCACUUUGAACUUCUUGUAUCUAUGGAUCAGCAGGUGUCAGUGUGUAUCACAGUCCAUCAGAUCUCCUAAUCUCAUGUCUCUAUCGCCAUCUUUACUCACAGACACUCUCCCCAACCAACCUCAUACAUGUCUAAGAUAUGAAUAUUUAGAAAUGUGGAUGAGCCAAGUAUAGAAGCUCGUGACUAAUUGCCUACAUCAAAUAACUCGAAGUGGUCAGAAAAUAAUUGUGCUUUAUUUAGUCUAUAAUUGGAUCUUUUGUAAUAGCA
rnacentral:lncRNA from 1 species